UUGGCGAUUUAAACCCCCUACUCUUCCUUCGGGGCUUCAUCCUGCCGAGAGGACGACACCUUUCUUUCGUCUGAGAGCCUAGCUACUCAGCCACAUCCUCCGCACCGGUCCUUGCCAUCUUCAGCCCCUCGAUUCUUCUCUAAGGGGUUCCCACGUCAUGUCCUCCAUCCCGGAGGCCAUCCUCGAAGGGAUGUCUAGGGCUUGGAGGAAGGCGAGGAGGAGAACAGCGGUCGGUGAGUUCUCCGGUCAUCAAGUGGCCGCUGAGGAUCCCCAU
rnacentral:lncRNA from 1 species